rnacentral:rRNA from 1 species
UACAGAGGUCUCAAGCGUUGUUCGGAUUCAUUGGGCGUAAAGGGUGCGUAGGCGGCGCGGUAAGUCGGGUGUGAAAGUCGGGGGGCUCAACCCUCGAAUGCCGGUGGAUACUGUCGGGCUAGAGUGCGGAAGAGGCGAGUGGAAUUCCUGGUGUAGCGGUGAAAUGCGCAGAUAUCAGGAAGAACACCAAUGGCGAAGGCAGCUCUCUGGGACGGUACUGACGCUGAGACGCGAAAGCGUGGGGAGCGAACAGG